AUUGAACGCUGGCGGCAUGCUUUACACAUGCAAGUCGAACGGCAGCGCGGGCUUCGGCCUGGCGGCGAGUGGCGAACGGGUGAGUAAUACAUCGGAACGUGCCCAGUAGUGGGGGAUAGCUCGGCGAAAGCCGGAUUAAUACCGCAUACGACCUGAGGGUGAAAGCGGGGGAUCUUCGGACCUCGCGCUAUUGGAGCGGCCGAUGGCGGAUUAGCUAGUUGGUGGGGUAAAGGCCUACCAAGGCGACGAUCUGUAGCUGGUCUGAGAGGACGACCAGCCACACUGGAACUGAGACACGGCCCAGACUCCUACGGGAGGCAGCAGUGGGGAAUUUUGGACAAGGGGCGAAAGCCUGAUCCAGCCAUCCCGCGUGGGUGAAGAAGGCCUUCGGGUUGUAAAGCCCUUUUGUUGGGAAAGAAAAGCAGCAGGCUAAUACCCCGCUGUUAUGACGGUACCCAAAGAAUAAGCACCGGCUAACUUCGUG
rnacentral:rRNA from 1 species